GACGUAGGGCGCGAGCGUUGUCCGGAUUUAUUGGGCGUAAAGAGCUCGUAGGCGGCUUGUCGCGUCGUCCGUGAAAACCUGCAGCUCAACUGCAGGCUUGCGGUCGAUACGGGCAGGCUCGAGUUCGGUAGGGGAGACUGGAAUUCCUGGUGUAGCGGUGAAAUGCGCAGAUAUCAGGAGGAACACCGAUGGCGAAGGCAGGUCUCUGGGCCACUACUGACGCUGAGAAGCGAAAGCGUGGGGAGCGAACAGG
rnacentral:rRNA from 1 species